UGAUGAUCAGUUUGUGUAGUGGUGGUCCAGGGAAGGGAGUUGAUGAUCGGGCCGUUGUAUAGUGGUGGUCCAGGGGAAGGGAGAUGUUGAUCAGGCCGUUGUGUAGUGGUGGUCCAGGGGAAGGGAGUUGAUGAUCAGGUCGUUGUGUAGUGGUGGUCCAGGGGAAGGGAGUUGAUGAUCAGGCCGUUGUGGACUGGUGGUUUAGGGGAAGGGAGUUGAUGAUCAGGCCAUUGUGUAGUGGUGGUCCAGGGGAAGGGAGUUAAUGAUCGGGGCCAUUGUGUAGUGGUGGUCCAGGGGAAGGGAGUUGAUGAUCAGGCCGUUGUGUAGUGGUGGUCCGGGGGAAGGGAGAUGAUGAUCAGGCCGUUGUGUAGUGGUGGUCCAGGGGAAGAGAGUUGAUGAUCAGGCCGUUGUGUAGUGGUGGUCCAGGGGAAGGGAGAUCAUGAUCAGGCCGUUGUGUAAUGGUGGUCCAGGGGAAGGGAGAUGUUGAUCAGGCCGUUGUGUAGUGGUGGUCAAGGGGAAGAGAGUUGAUGAUCAGGCCGUUGUGUAGUGGUGGUCCAGGGAAAGGGAGAUGAUGAUCAGGCCGUUGUGUAGUGGUGGUCCAGGGGAAGGGAGAUGUUGAUCAGGCCGUUGUGUAGUGGUGGUCCAGGGGAAGGGAGAUGAUGAUCAGGCCGUUGAUGAUCAGGUCGUUGUGUAGUGGUG